UAAUGGAAGAUGAAGGGAGGAAAAGCAAGUAAAAGACAUGCUAUGCAUAGCCACCACAUGCCAUGGGCACCGUUGUCCCCCUGCACAAAGGAGGAGCAUCUCAGCAAGCUUGGCCUGGGCCGUGGAAGGGAUCAUACAAACAUCUGGACCAACGCGACAGGAGUUAGUUCUGCAGCUGUCGCAAUGCUUUGAUCCCCUGCUGCUGGGCUGGGGCGUUUGAGGAAUGAUGCGUGUGCUGAUGUCCAUCCAGGCUUUGGGGAUGAGUCUGCGUAGCAGGGAGGGCAGGUGGUGAAGCUCAUGAAGCAAUGCCUGCAGAUGGGGUUUGCAGAGCAAGAGGUCCGUCCUGCAGGCCUUGUGUGACACGCAUGGAGCUGUAGCGAGGCUGCAUCAGUGUAAAACAGCAGAAAUGCACGGAGGUGUGAAGUGAUAACCGUGGAAGCAUACAAGCAUUACCCAGACAAAAUGAGCGUUUGUCACCUGGGCUUUCUACCAAUGCCAUAGGCAGGAGAAGUCAGCAUGGGAAGCAUCCGUGAGAGCCCUGCAAAAGACUGGUGAAAGAGAUGGCUGCUCUAAGCCGCCCUUGAAGGGCGCAAAGAAGGACCCUAGUGUGGAUUUGCCAUAGGCCCAGCAAGAGGCUCAAGAGGACCAAGCGCCGUGUCGUGCACUUUGGUCAUGCCAACCCCAUGCCAGCUUCUCCAGGAUUUGGCUGAGAUAGAAUUCCAACCACCAUCGGAUUUCUCGAACGCUGGGGUGCCCUUUGGGAAUCCUAUGGUCUUGUGACGUGGUCUUGCCUCCCCACCUUGCCCAUCCAUGGUGGAGCAGCCGGGUGGCCCUUAGUGAUGUCACAAGCGGCUAGAAUGAGGGGAGGAGCAGCGCGUGCUGCUUCCCUUCAUUGGAGCGCUUGAGCUCAGCGUGAGUACGUGGCUUGUUGCACUUGUGCAUCGAGUGAGUCUGUUUGUCUUCAGCCCGUCUUGCGCAGCGUCUUGUAGGUAAGCUGAGCCAGUGCGGGAUAGACGGGUGGGCUCAAAGGCUUGAGAAGUGCUGGCUGGCAGAGCUCCUAGGAUCAUAUUGCUUAGUCUGGACCGUCAGACGCCAUUUUCCCGCAGGCCAUCCAUCCAUCAAGGUGGCAUU